GAUGAACGCUGGCGGCGUGCCUAAUACAUGCAAGUCGAGCGAACAGACGAGGAGCUUGCUCCUUUGACGUUAGCGGCGGACGGGUGAGUAACACAUAGGUAACCUACCUAUAAGACUGGGAUAACUUCGGGAAACCGGAGCUAAUACCGGAUAAUAUUUCGAACCGCAUGGUUCGAUAGUGAAAGAUGGCUUUGCUAUCACUUAUAGAUGGACCUGCGCCGUAUUAGCUAGUUGGUAAGGUAACGGCUUACCAAGGCAACGAUACGUAGCCGACCUGAGAGGGUGAUCGGCCACACUGGAACUGAGACACGGUCCAGACUCCUACGGGAGGCAGCAGUAGGGAAUCUUCCGCAAUGGGCGAAAGCCUGACGGAGCAACGCCGCGUGAGUGAUGAAGGUCUUCGGAUCGUAAAACUCUGUUAUUAGGGAAGAACAAACGUGUAAGUAACUGUGCACGUCCUGACGGUACCUAAUCAGAAAGCCACGGCUAACUACGUG
rnacentral:rRNA from 1 species